GAACAGCUUCCAACGAAAAAGGGAAGAAGUGAAAAUUUAAAACACAAAAAGACUCUUUGAGAACUCCGCUUGAGGUAAAUGGGCCAGAAUGCAGAUCAGCAUCAGGUUUUAAUGUGGUUUGAGUUGAAGUGGCAGCCGUUAGUUUCACUCUUGGCUAACGUCGUGAGCUUCAGUGGAGCGGUGAAAGCUCAGGCAGACCUACCAUGUGUCCAUAAACACAUCCAUAUGUCAGAUCUGUUGUGUCCUCCUUACACCACCUCGGCAUACGGCACUUCUGUGGUCACGGUGUUGUCAUCGAGCUUUGUGCUCUCGCUGUGCACUCACAGAAGGGAGUAACCGCACAUAUUCCUAAACUUAUUACCCCGCUGUCUUAUUUCUGUUUCCCGGAAUAAAGUCAGGAGAAAGUCUCUUAAUCUGUCUUUGAGGUGACACCAUAAAUAUUUAUCACUACUACCGCCACAAUUAUUAUUAGCAUUAUUAUUAUCGGCUACUGUGGGAAAAAAAAGAGACACUGGAGGUGGUUUGAGUCGGAAGGCAGAAUCUGUCUUGCUCUUUAUUAUUAACCGUUGUAAUAAUAAUAAUAAUAAUAAUAAUAAUAAUAAUAAUAAUUGUUACAACUCGGCUCUGAAGCUGCAACAAAACAGGAAGACAACAACAGGGUGGUGACUAAAAGAAAGGUUUUACUACAGUUUUUCUCAAUUGAUAAGACACUAAAUUCCAUUCACUGCACACAGCCACCAACUGACUGCACACAUUUCUCAAAAACAGGACACUGCUGUCCAGACUUUGGACACUAUUCUUGGUUUGCACACAGUUUCCAAAACUCUUGCACUCGUUUUGCAAAAGACUGAACACGCUUUUUGCUCAUUUGAACACACUUUUUCACUCAUAGCACACAUUUUUCAAAAAGUGAACACUAGGAAGCAGAACUGGGACACUGUUCCAACACUGCUGUCACAAUUAAGACACAACAGAUCAAAACUGAAAACACUUUUGCCAAUGAAGUGUACACUAUAAAACCUGCUGGGAAGCAGAAUUAGCUGUUCAGAAUGGAUGUCAGAGGAGCAAGAGGUUAUGUUGGAAGAAGAGGACGUGGACGACCCAGACCAUGGCCAGAACCAGAACCAGAACCAGAACCUGGACUUGCCCAUGCACCUGGUCCUGGACCACUUUACAUGAGAGUUUUUCAGUUGGAUUCUGAUGAUACACAUGAAUAAAUCUAUGUGGAUGAGGCUGGUUUCAACCUGGCCAAGAGGAGGAGAAGAGGGAGAAACAUCAUUGGACAAUGGGCUAUAGUGAACAUCACAGGUCAGCGUGGGGCAACGUAACCCUCUGUGCUGCAAGAAGCAAUCAUGGAGUAAUUGACUGUCAUGCAGUUCUGGGCCCAUAGAACACCCAGCAUUUGCUGACUUUCCUAGAUGGACUUAGAGGGUCUACUGACAUGGGUGCAGCAGGGCGUUUGGCAAGAAGACACAGUUUUGUUGUUGUCUGGGACAAUGUUAGUUUUCAUAGAGGACUAUUGAUUCGGUAACAGUUCAAUAUGAACCCUCAAGUUAUUGUGGUUUUUCUGCCACCAUAUUCUCCCUUUCUGAAUCCUAUAGAGGAAUUCUUCUCUACAUGGAGGUGGAAGGUAUAUGAGCGGCAGCCAUACAUUCAGGAAAAUCUCUUGCAAUCACUGGUCUUGUCAUGUGGUGAUGUUUCUGCUGAUGCAUGUCAGGGAUGGAUCAGACACACUAGGUCCUUCUUUCCAGAGAAAACAUAGCUUGUGAUGUUGAUGAGGUCCUGUGGCCUGACCAGGCUGAAAGAACUGAUGCAGACGUGGUGUAAAUAUUUACAUACUGUGUACAAUACAGUGCUUUAUUUUUAUAAUGCACAGUCAGGCACUGCAAUGGCCCCGUCUGAUUUAUUUAUAGCAUGCAUUUGUGUUUAAGUUGUCAUUUUUGAGGCCUGUAUCAUUUUUUUUUACACUUCAUGUGAAAACAGUGAGAGAAGAGUGUUUUGUAUUUAGCAGUGCAGUGUCCUACUUUUGCUUCGU
ensembl:lncRNA